UGAUUUGUAAUUAGCUUCCAAAUUAGAUAAUAUCUAAUUACAAGGGGAUCCCUUUCUUUUCCAUACAAGGAAGGACCCAAUUUUGUAAUCAAUUUAAGUUUAUAAAUAAAGGAAAAAGGCUGGUGUACAGCCCACGAUUGAAUGAAAACAAAAAGGAAAGCUUUGUGCUGGAAAACUGUGAGAUGCAGUGCUAUGAGAGACAGCAUGGGUGAGAUGCACUAGCCCUGUUCGAAUUUAGUUUGAAGCAUGGUUACAAGCCCCAACACUUGCUGCCAUUGCAAGAUCUGAGAAGACAAGUCCAAGACCUGCGGCAUCUCAAUUGUUCAAGCUAUUAACUGGAAGCACCUAUGAUUCUGCUCUGGAAUUAAUUCCUAGUUAUCUAGCUAGGAAUUGGUAUCAAAGCCAGAAGGACAGCAAACGGUGUUGAUGAUCUUGGAGUCUACUACCCACUAGAGGGUUGACCAUGCAACUUUGACUCAACAACUCAACCAAACUCAUGGAUGAGUUUUCUUUUUCAAGAUGGGGAGAGCUGAUGUAGAUCGUAGGAACAAGGCCCCAAUCGAUCCACACCGGUUGUGGGAGGCAGUUUGGUCUGAUGUGGCUUGGUUCUUGGUUCUUGAUUGGUUCAACCCAAGUACAACUUGCUGCACUUUUUUCGUUGAGAAUUCCUCGUUCCCUUUCGUGUGAAUUCCCCCAGCGGCGAAUUAACAACUUGUGGGGCCUUAUCUAUUCCAUCUCUCGAGCCCCCGAAGAAAACCAUGGAGAAUACUUGAAGAAGAUUUCUUCUUGAUUUGUGGGCCCAUGGCUAGCUAGCAUGGAGGAGUUUAAACUGCAAGAUUUAGGAAAUCUUUGAUUAAUGUAGUUUCCAUUUUCAUAUUUCCCUUUAAUAAUUAGAAAGAUAUUAUCUAGCUAGUUUCUAAUUUUAGUUUUUUACUUUUAGAAAGUAAGAAUUCUAAUUUAUUAGGCUCCUAUCUUUGUAAAAGGGAGAGAUUUGAUUUGAUUUGAUUUGUAAUUAGUUUUCAAAUUAGAUAAUAUCUAAUUACAAGGGGAUUCCUUUCCUUUCCAUGCAAGGAAGGACCCAAUUUUUUAA